rnacentral:lncRNA from 1 species
GUUACUUCCGUGACUUCAGUCUUUGCUCUCCUACCCUCUCACUUACUAGCUGAGCGAUCUGGGGGAGGUUAUCUAACCUUCCUGAGCCUCGUAUUCCUCAUACCGAAAACGGAGGUAACCAGAGUAACUACAUCCAAAAAUUGAGAGAACUGAAUGAGAUAAAUAAGGCGGGGUGUUUUUAACACGUCCUGCACAUGAAGACAAUACCAUGAUCAUGAAAUCACUAGAGAAAUCUGUCGGGGAAAGUCUGUGAGGAUAGUCUCAUCUGUAACACAUGUGUCCUCCAGAAAAAAAGUAUAUGGCUUUCAGACUAAAUUUUACUCCUUAUCCAAAUGGAAAGAAUAUCUAAAGAGACAAAGUGUAAUAAUCCAAGAAUCUUCUAUUGUGAGAAUAAUGGAGAUUGACAUUGUGAAGUAUAUAGAAAAACAUAAAAGACCACUGGAUCAACAUCACACAUGGAAUAUAUUUGUAAAGAGACAGACAGAAUUAUGUCAUACCCAGAGGGGAUAAUAAUCAGAUUUCUGAGGAUCUGCGUUACAACUCACCUAUUGGUGCUUACCGGAGACUCUAUUCAGCAUCCGAUUUGACAAUGUAAACUCCAGCCCUGUCCAACGUUCUGGAUAAUAUAGCUCAAUUGGCAGGGAAACUUAACCCAUAGUUUGGACUUGCUUCAGAACCCUCUCUUUCACUGGGAUCCACUCACAGCUGGCAACCUUCCACAAGUUAUGAUAAAUGAGGCAGAACAUUAUUUUCAAGUGUGUUA